rnacentral:tRNA from 1 species
GCCGGGGUGGCCGAGCGGUCCAAGGCGGUGGGCUCGAGACCCAGGUUUUCCGGCUUGGUAGGGGCUGGGAGACCCACUGCCCCGUAAGGGGCGCGCGGGUUCAAAUCCCGCCCCCGGCG